UAGGAAGUAGUAUAAGUGGAAGUACUAAGAGUUUUGAUCUCUUAAGAAUAGGUUCAAAUCCUAUUUUUCUAA
rnacentral:tRNA from 2 species